rnacentral:lncRNA from 13 species
GUUUUCUUUUUUAUUUCCAUUAAUUCAUAUUAUUUUCUAUAUUUUUCUCUUAAAGACACACCAGUGGCUACCUACUGGAUUGAUUUUCCUGCCCCAGUUGGACACAGACAGGAAUAGAGGUUCUUCGUGCGGGUGUGUGCAUCGUGUGUUACUGAAGGGUCACAGGAGACAGCUCAUGACAGCAAAGUGGGGGCCACAGAGCCAAGGGCAAGCACCGAGGCCCAGGAAGGAAAGAUGGAAAAGACACUCCUGAGAACCUGGAAGUUUGGUAUUGACAACAGAAAAUGUACAGGUCAUUGACUGAACGUUCUGCUUGUUAAAUACACGUUUUGCGGUUUUGAAGAAAAAGACAAAAUGUAUAAGAAGCAGAUUAAAAUUAGAAACAUGAGCAAGAGUAGGUGGUGGAAAGUUAAAUGUAAGGAAGUAAACUGUUCCAGGAAAUUCUUUUAAAAAGCUUUUAUUUCAAGGUCACAAAAAUGUCAAGGAAGGAAGAAAAUGAUUAUUUCUUUAAAAAGAAAACUGGAAUGUAAAAGCUAUGACAGAACUCACGAGAGGUAGAGAGAGUGAGGAAGAAAAGCGAGUUCAAAACAGAGAGGAAGAAUAUUGUUGUGGAAAAGCAUUGAUUCUAAUUCCCAAUUUCUGCCAAGCAUUGAUGAUGGAGACUCCCAUUCUUCUUUUGUCACCAUGUGAAGAACGACGUGUUAGCUUCCCCUUCUGCCAUGAUUCUAAGUUUCCUGAGGCCUCCCCGGCUGUGUUGAAUGGUGAGUCAAUUAAAAAUUGACUUUAUAAAUAUUUUAUAAUAAAAUCACCUUUAUAAAUUACCCA